AUUGAACGCUGGCGGCAGGCCUAACACAUGCAAGUCGAACGAGUGGCGGACGGGUGAGUAAUGUCUGGGAAACUGCCUGAUGGAGGGGGAUAACUACUGGAAACGGUAGCUAAUACCGCAUACCAUCAGAUGUGCCCAGAUGGGAUUAGCUAGUUGGUGGGGUAACGGCUCACCAAGGCGACGAUCCCUAGCUGGUCUGAGAGGAUGAACCGGCAAAAUGGAACUUGGACAAGGGCCCAGCUCCUACGGGAGGGCGCAAUGGGGAAUUUUGAACAAUGGGGGAAGACGUAAUCCGCCCAUCCGGGGGGAUGAAGGAGGCCUUCGGGUUGUAAAGUUAUUUCAGGGGGGAGGCGUUACCCGCAGAAGAAGCACCGGCUAACUCCGUGCCAGCAGCCGCGGUAAUAC
rnacentral:rRNA from 1 species